rnacentral:piRNA from 1 species
UGGACUUCCCUAUGGUCGUGACCUUUCCCGCC